GGCUUUAAGGAAAAAAUAAAAAAAUGUAAUUAUAUCUCAUUUUUUAUUUACCUUUUUGAAGAUUUGCAUUUUUCUUUUGUUGUUGCCGGAAAAUAAAAA
rnacentral:ribozyme from 1 species